rnacentral:rRNA from 1 species
UACGAAGGGGGCGAGCGUUGUUCGGAUUUACUGGGCGUAAAGGGCGCGCAGGCGGCCAUUCAAGUCAGGCGUGAAAGCCCCGGGCUUAACCUGGGAAUUGCGCUUGAUACUCUGAGACUGGAGUACGGGAGAGGAGAGUGGAAUUCCCAGUGUAGAGGUGAAAUUCGUAGAUAUUGGGAAGAACACCAGUGGCGAAGGCGGCUCUCUGGACCGUAACUGACGCUGAGGCGCGAAAGCGUGGGGAGCAAACAGG